rnacentral:rRNA from 1 species
UACCGUGGUGGUAACGGGUAACGGGGUGUUAGGGCACGACACCGGAGAGGGAGCCUGAGAAACGGCUACCACAUCCAAGGAAUGCAGCAGGCGCGCAAAUUACCCAAUCCCGACACGGGGAGGUAGUGACAAUAAAUAACAAUACGGGGUUCUUUAGGAUCUCGUAAUUGGAAUGAGUACAAUUUAAAUCUCUUAACGAGGAACAAUUGGAGGGCAAGUCUGGUGCCAACAGCCGCGGUAAUUCCAGCUCCAAUAGCGUAUAUUAAAGUUGUUGCAGUUAAAAAGCUCGUAGUUGAAUUUCGGGGUCAGUAGGUCGGUCGUGCCACUGGUAUGAACUGGUUUUACUGAUUCCUCCCUCUUGAAGAACUGUAAUGCCAUUAAUUUGGUGUUGCAGGGAAUCAGGACUGUUACUUUGAAAAAAUUAGAGUGUUUAAAGCAGGCUUUAGCUUGAAUACAUUAGCAUGGAAUAAUGAAAUAGGACGUUUGAUCCUAUUUUGUUGGUUUCUAGGAUUGACGUAAUGAUUAAUAGGGAUAGUUGGGGGCAUUAGUAUUCAAUUGUCAGAGGUGAAAUUCUUGGAUUUAUUGAAGACUAACUACAGCGAAAGCAUUUGCCAAGGAUGUUUUCAUUAAUCAAGAACGAAAGUUAGGGGAUCGAAGACGAUCAGAUACCGUCGUAGUCUUAACCAUAAACUAUGCCGACUAGGGAUCGGAUGAUGUUAAUUUUUUAAUGACUCAUUCGGCGCCUUACGGGAAACCAAAGUGUUU